GCCAACAGUCAGACUGGAUUGAAGGCACCCAAUCCUGUCUGACCUCAGAAGAUAAAUAGUCCCAGACCUGGUUAGUACUUGGAUGGGAAAUUGCCUGGGAAUCCUAGGUGCCAUAGGCA
rnacentral:rRNA from 1 species